AGUGAACGCUGGCGGCGUGCUUAACACAUGCAAGUCGAACGAGAACGGGUUAUAGCUUGCUAUAAUUGUCAGCUAAGUGGCGCACGGGUGAGUAAUGUAUAGGUAAUAUGCCUCUUACUAAGGGAUAACAAAUGGAAACGUUUGCUAAUACCUUAUACUCCUUAUUAACAGAAGUUAAUAAGGGAAAGAUUUAUUGGUAAGAGAUUAGCCUGUAUUGUAUCAGUUAGUUGGUGGGGUAAUGGCUUACCAAGACUAUGACUCAUAACUGGUUUGAGAGGAUGAUCAGUCACACUGGAACUGAGACACGGUCCAGACUCCUACGGGAGGCAGCAGUGAGGAAUAUUGCACAAUGGACGAAAGUCUGAUGCAGCAACGCCGCGUGGAGGAUGACACACUUCGGUGCGUAAACUCCUUUUAUAUGAGAAGAUAAUGACGGUAUUAUAUGAAUAAGCACCGGCUAACUCCGUGCCAGCCGCCGCGGUAAAAC
rnacentral:rRNA from 1 species